AAGCCUGAGUUUUCAGAGGGUCAUUGGAAAACUCAGCUGUCCAUCAUCGCCGCCUCAUCAACAUAUCCUGAGGGCCCCGCCCUUACUCCGCCCCUUCCUUAUUUGUAAGCGAGGAAGGGAGGCUGCAGGCUCCUGUAAUCACCCUUCGAACAGGGGGGCACCUGUUACAUUGAGACUUCUCCAGAGACAGAUUGUUUUCUUUAAGGAGGACACCAACAAGAAGGGCCUGCUGCCUUGUCUGCUUUGGAAGUGUGUCCUCUCCUCUUAAUUCAAUGAUGAAGAACAUGAAAGGGAAAUGCAAACAAGCAAUGGAUGUCUAUAACAACGUAUGCUACAUGUUCAUUGUACAGUAAUAUUGAUCUACUGUAUAGUCAACCAUCCUGCUGUCAUCACAGUAUCAGUACAUUAAGAGUGUAUCCCUGUCAAUAUCACUAUGAUCUUGUAUCAUAAUCCUGUUUGUUUUGUAAAUAAAAUUGUAAACGUCACUUUUUGCUGUUUGCUAUAAAUUAAGUAUAAGCCUAAGUAUAAGCCUAAUAAUAAUAUCAUAUAAGACUAAUAAUAAUACAAUUAAGACAGUAUAAGACUAAUGUGAUGGGAAUAUUGCUGGAAAUUUUUUUUUUUAUUUCAUGAACACUAAAAUAAUUUGCAGUGAGAUGUCUAUUGUGCUUUUACACCAUGGAAGGUUUCUAUUGUCUAAAUGUGUAAAAACCAUGAAACUUGGGUGAGCUCAGCAAAGUUAUUUCUAUUUGUAGAGUCAUUAAGGUGAACGUUCUCAUUGCCUUUAUGGUGCAUAUAAUUUCCAGAACAAUAGUGAUUGACUAUGUACAGACAUACAUGGCACAGCUAUUGAAUAUUUGUCAGAAAACUGCAAGCUGAAUAAACUGACCUACUUUUUCAAAA